AGGUGAACCUGCGGAGGGAUCAUUACAAGUGACCCCGGUCUAACCACCGGGAUGUUCAUAACCCUUUGUUGUCCGACUCUGUUGCCUCCGGGGCGACCCUGCCUUCGGGCGGGGGCUCCGGGUGGACACUUCAAACUCUUGCGUAACUUUGCAGUCUGAGUAAACUUAAUUAAUAAAUUAAAACUUUUAACAACGGAUCUCUUGGUUCUGG
rnacentral:misc_RNA from 1 species